GAAUUCGCCCUUAGAGUUUGAUCCUGGCUCAGGACGAACGCUGGCGGCGCGCCUAACACAUGCAAGUCGAACGGAGCUGAGAGGAGCUUGCUUUUCUCAGCUUAGUGGCGAACGGGUGAGUAACGCGUGAGUAACCUGCCCUGGAGUGGGGGACAACAGUUGGAAACGACUGCUAAUACCGCAUAAGCCCACGAUCCGGCAUCGGAUUGAGGGAAAAGGAUUUAUUCGCUUCAGGAUGGACUCGCGUCCAAUUAGCUAGUUGGUGAGGUAACGGCCCACCAAGGCGACGAUUGGUAGCCGGACUGAGAGGUUGAACGGCCACAUUGGGACUGAGACACGGCCCAGACUCCUACGGGAGGCAGCAGUGGGGGAUAUUGCACAAUGGGGGAAACCCUAAUGCAGCGACGCCGCGUGGAGGAAGAAGGUUUUCGGAUUGUAAACUCCUGUCGUUAGGGACGAUAAUGACGGUACCUAACAAGAAAGCACCGGCUAACUACGUGCCAGCAGCCGCGGUAAAACGUAGGGUGCAAGCGUUGUCCGGAAUUACUGGGUGUAAAGGGAGCGCAGGCGGACCGGCAAGUUGGAAGUGAAAACUAUGGGCUCAACCCAUAAAUUGCUUUCAAAACUGCUGGCCUUGAGUAGUGCAGAGGUAGGUGGAAUUCCCGGUGUAGCGGUGGAAUGCGUAGAUAUCGGGAGGAACACCAGUGGCGAAGGCGGCCUACUGGGCACCAACUGACGCUGAGGCUCGAAAGUGUGGGUAGCAAACAGGAUUAGAUACCCUGGUAGUCCACACCGUAAACGAUGAUUACUAGGUGUUGGAGGAUUGACCCCUUCAGUGCCGCAGUUAACACAAUAAGUAAUCCACCUGGGGAGUACGACCGCAAGGUUGAAACUCAAAGGAAUUGACGGGGGCCCGCACAAGCAGUGGAGUAUGUGGUUUAAUUCGAAGCAACGCGAAGAACCUUACCAGGCCUUGACAUCCCUUGCAGAGGUAUAGAGAUAUAUCCGAGGUUAUCAAGGAGACAGGUGGUGCAUGGUUGUCGUCAGCUCGUGUCGUGAGAUGUUGGGUUAAGUCCCGCAACGAGCGCAACCCUUGUGAUAUGUUACUAACAUUGAGUUGAGGAUUCAUAUCAGACUGCCGGUGAUAAACCGGAGGAGGGCGGGGACGACGUCAAGUCAUCAUGCCCCUUAUGCCCUGGGCUGCACACGUGCUACAAUGGCCGGUACAGAGGGAUGCCACCCCGCGAGGGGGAGCGGAUCCCGGAAAGCCGGCCCCAGUUCGGAUUGGGGGCUGCAACCCGCCCCCAUGAAGUCGGAGUUGCUAGUAAUCGCGGAUCAGCAUGCCGCGGUGAAUGCGUUCCCGGGCCUUGCACACACCGCCCGUCA
rnacentral:rRNA from 1 species